UGGAGCACGGCAUCCAGCUCCAGUACCACCAGCAUAGGAAGGACAUGGAACUGGUGGAGCAAGUCCAGAGAAGGGCCACAAAGUGGGCAGAUCCCACAGGAGAGUGAAUAGGGCCAGGAGGUGCUCCAGGCAGUACAGCAGAGAUUCCCCUGCAGCUUGUUGUGAAGACCAUGGUGAGGCAGCUGUGCUCCUGCAGUCAAGGAGGUCCACAGUGGAACAGACAUCCAUCUACAGCUUGUGGAAGAUCUCAUGCUGGAGCAGGUGAUGAAGAGAGUGAUGGAGCUGUACAUGGGCACCUCGUAUCCAGACAAGGUCAACUAACCACAGCGUUUAGUGUUUUUUUCUGAAGUUAAACUGAUACUCAGUUAAUGUGUGGUGCUCCUUGCUGUUUUUAAACCUGUAGGCCAGGAGUCCCACUGAGGUCACAGGAGAGGUGAAUUCGUUGCAGGAUUAGUUGCACUUUUUUUUUUCCACUCUGAAAUUGAAUACUGUUGUAUUGCCCUCAUCAGUGCUUAAAAGGUAAUAUGAACUUGUGUUAAAAUUAACAGGUCCUUCUAAGAGCCUUCAAGAUCAACUAUUUCCCUGCAGUUUUGCUUUAUUCUACUUCAUUGCAAAGAAUGUUUCCUUUUGCUGUGUUGUAAAAUCCUCUUCAGUAAGAUAAAAAUUAAAUGUACAUAUCCACAAAGUACAUGUGAAUCUGUUUGCACUACUUAUUCUUAGUUUUUGUGUACACUUAUUUCGUGGGUAAAAUUAUAACUUAAGGUGCUCCUUAUACUGUACCUCUCCUUAUUGUCAUAACAGAGGUUCUCAAAGAAGCCAAUCACCAGGAGGACCUCUGGUCUGAAUGCUUUUAAAAUAAAGCUGUGAAGCUUUUCUCUCCAGAGCUAUUUAAAAAUGUGAAAAAUUGUUCUGUCACUCCAGUUGUAGCAGUCUCUAUCUCAGGUAAAAUAUAUGAUUCUAUUUCCCUGUAAUUUGCAUCAUUUGAUUGGAUGUAUUUUGCAAUUUUACUUUUAAUUGGAAUUCCUGCUUAUUCUUCAUGAGAAUUAUUGUGCACCUCACCCCAUAAUUUCCAAACUAAUGUAUAUCAGUGUUUUGUCGGCUGGCAUUAGAAUAUUGAAAAUACUUUGUAUUCUUCCUUUAAGAGUGGUUGAAUCACCGGAGGCACUUCCUCUGAGUGCAAAAAUGGAAUUACUGACUAGACUGAGUAAAUUUCAAAAAUUGUAAAUAGUAUUAUAAGUUAAUUAUUUCUCACUGCAUAAAAAUCAUCCUGGUAAAUACAGUGUUCUAGCUGUUGUGC